CAUGAAGCCGGAAUCGCUAGUAAUCGCGGAUCAGAAUGCCGCGGUGAAUACGUUCCCGGGUCUUGUACACAUCGCCCGUCACACCAUGGGAGUCAGUAACGCCCGAAGCCGGUGACCCAACCUAUCUGGAGGGAGCCGUCGAAGGCGGGACGGAUGACUGGGGUGAAGUCGUAACAAGGUACC
rnacentral:rRNA from 1 species